AGAGUACAGGUAUUCAUUGAGAACGAGAGUACUGAGCGUGACCACCUCGAGCAGUCAUAAGGAAGUCUUCCUUCUCGUCGAUGACUAGCUCGAUGCUGCAGUUGUGUGUCUAGUUCUUUGACCUGAGGUGCAUCGACGGUUCACCUUGAGUGUGUUAUAGUUUGACUACACCAUAACUCGAUCUCCUAGCCAUUCAAAAUCCUGAGGUGUAUGUUGGCUGUAGCAUAUCUAUUGUAGGAACCAGAUCGCACCAAGAUGGGAUCUAUCAACCUCGGU
rnacentral:lncRNA from 1 species